rnacentral:rRNA from 1 species
UACAGAGGUCUCAAGCGUUGUUCGGAUUCAUUGGGCGUAAAGGGUGCGUAGGCGGCGCGGUAAGUCGGGUGUGAAAUCUCGGAGCUUAACUCCGAAACUGCAUUCGAUACUGGAAGGCUUGAGGAUGGGAGAGGGAUGUAGAAUUCCAGGUGUAGCGGUGAAAUGCGUAGAUAUCUGGAGGAAUACCGGUGGCGAAGGCGGCAUCCUGGACCAUUACUGACGCUGAGGCGCGAAAGCUAGGGGAGCAAACGGG